rnacentral:rRNA from 1 species
AUUGAACGCUGGCGGCGUGCCUAACACAUGCAAGUCGAGCGAUCGGAUGCUGGGUGCUUGCACUCGGCAUCACGGAGCGGCGAACGGGUGAGUAACACGUGGGCAACCUGCCUCGAGGACGGGGAUAACUCCGGGAAACUGGGGCUAAUACCCGAUAACGCGGUUGGAUCGCAUGAUCCGACCGGCAAAUGGUUCUUCCGCCUCGAGAGGGGCCCGCGGCCUACAGCUUGUUGGUGGGGUAACGGCCUACCAAGGCUAUGACGGGUAGCCGGCCUGAGAGGGUGUUCGGCCACACCGGGACUGAGACACGGCCCGGACUCCUACGGGAGGCAGCAGUAGGGAAUCUUGCACAAUGGGCGCAAGCCUGAUGCAGCGAUGCCGCGUGAGGGAUGAAGGCCUUGG